AGCGAACGCUGGCGGCAGGCCUAACACAUGCAAGUCGAACGAACUCUUCGGAGUUAGUGGCGGACGGGUGAGUAACACGUGGGAACGUGCCUUUAGGUUCGGAAUAACUCAGGGAAACUUGUGCUAAUACCGAAUGUGCCCUUCGGGGGAAAGAUUUAUCGCCUUUAGAGCGGCCCGCGUCUGAUUAGCUAGUUGGUGAGGUAAAGGCUCACCAAGGCGACGAUCAGUAGCUGGUCUGAGAGGAUGAUCAGCCACAUUGGGACUGAGACACGGCCCAAACUCCUACGGGAGGCAGCAGUGGGGAAUCUUGCGCAUUGGGCGAAAGCCUGACGCAGCCAUGCCGCGUGAAUGAUGAAGGUCUUAGGAUUGUAAAAUUCUUUCACCGGGGACGAUAAUGACGGUACCCGGAGAAGAAGCCCCGGCUAACUUCGUG
rnacentral:rRNA from 1 species